rnacentral:rRNA from 1 species
CCUACGGGAGGCAGCAGUGGGGGAUAUUGCACAAUGGGGGAAACCCUGAUGCAGCGACGCCGUGUGUGGGAAGACGGUCCUCUGGAUUGUAAACCACUGUCCCCAGGGACGAAGAUGACGGUACCUGGGGAGGAAGCUCCGGCUAACUACGUGCCAGCAGCCGCGGUAAUACGUAGGGAGCGAGCGUUGUCCGGAAUUACUGGGUGUAAAGGGAGCGUAGGCGGGACUGCAAGUUGGGUGUCAAAUCUACCGGCUCAACCGGUAGCCGCACUCAAAACUGCAGUUCUUGAGUGAAGUAGAGGCAGGCGGAAUUCCUAGUGUAGCGGUGAAAUGCGUAGAUAUUAGGAGGAACACCAGUGGCGAAGGCGGCAUGCUGGGCUUUUACUGACGCUGAGGCUCGAAAGUGUGGGGAGCAAACAGGAUUAGAUACCCCAGUAGUC